ACAAGUCUGCACUAGGAAUUUCACCUAUGAAGAAAUCUCCUGCAUGCAGACGAGGGAACAGAUCAAAGCAGAAGGAAUUUGUUAGAUCUUUUCUUCUCUCUUCCCUUCUUUCUUUACUUUAGUAUUUCUUGUAUAUUCACACAAAAUGUAUUUCGUCACCAAAUUACUUCAUAUUUCUGACUGGACAUACUAUAGAAAACCAUCCAGAACAUGUGAACGUUGUAACACAUUGAGUGUGUUGAAUAUUUUCACAUAUUUCCUGCUAGUUUGUGUCGCUCGGGUGUUUUUCUAGCCUUGAGAACAAAAGAGAAAAGACAACAAAGAUGGAAGCCACGUCUUCUGGAAUAUUCUCAGCUCCACCAGGUCAAACACAGUGACGGACGAGGCGGGGUACGCUCUCGCCAUUUCAUUGGCCAGAGCACCGGUGCAACCUGGGGAUUGUUGAAGACACAGCGCAGACCUUUACAGCCACCGACAACGCAGCAGGCGGUGAGAAGUGGACGGGUGGCGAGUCCUCACCUCCCAGAUCCACGACCUUCUGGAAGCGGGAGAGGUCGAACGCCGUCACGACAUCGUGUCCGUCCAGAACCCAGUGACAGCUCAUGAUCCCCAUGAACUUCAGCAUCUCCUCCUCAGACCUGGGGAGGAAGUCAUUCUACUGUCACCCGCAAACUGGAGAUGAACCAGUGAAGCAUUUUAAGCAGUCAGAUGAGCACCAACCUGUAAAUAGCUUGGAAAAAGUGGCCAGAUGGAAAACCGAAGGUCUUUUCAUACUGGUUCUUCCCCUCCCUGCAGGACAUCAAGCUUGAAUGCGUUUCGUUCUCCCUGACUCGCAAAAGCAUUCACACCCCGUGAACUUUUUCACAUUUUAUCAUGCCACAACCACAUGGUUUCAUUUAAAGCUUCCCAAAAUAAAGGUUUGGAACCCGGUGUGGGUCAGGA